AUUGAACGCUGGCGGCAUGCCUUACACAUGCAAGUCGAACGGCAGCACGGGAGCAAUCCUGGUGGCGAGUGGCGAACGGGUGAGUAAAGUAUCGGAACGUGCCCAAUCGUGGGGGAUAACGUAGCGAAAGUUACGCUAAUACCGCAUACGAUCUAUGGAUGAAAGCGGGGGAUCGCAAGACCUCGCGCGAUUGGAGCGGCCGAUAUCAGAUUAGGUAGUUGGGGGGGUAAAGGCUCACCAAGCCGACGAUCUGUAGCUGGUCUGAGAGGACGACCAGCCACACUGGGACUGAGACACGGCCCAGACUCCUACGGGAGGCAGCAGUGGGGAAUUUCGGACAAUGGGCGAAAGCCUGAUCCAGCCAUGCCGCGUGCAGGAUGAAGGCCUUCGGGUUGUAAACUGCUUCUGUACGGAACGAAAAGGUUUGGCCUAAUAAGCUGAGCUCAUGACGGUACCGUAAGAAUAAGCACCGGCUAACUACGUGCCAGCCGCCGCCGUAA
rnacentral:rRNA from 1 species